rnacentral:rRNA from 1 species
AGUCUGACGGAGCAACGCCGCGUGAGUGAUGAAGGUUUUCGGAUNGUAAAACUCUGUUGUUAGGGAAGAACAAGUACCGGAGUAACUGCCGGUACCUUGACGGUACCUAACCAGAAAGCCACGGCUAACUACGUGCCAGCAGCCGCGGUAAUACGUAGGUGGCAAGCGUUGUCCGGAAUU